AGAGUUUGAUCCUGGCUCAGGACGAACGCUGGCGGCGUGCUUAACACAUGCAAGUCGAACGGAAAGGCCCUUCGGGGUACUCGAGUGGCGAACGGGUGAGUAACACGUGGGUGAUCUGCCCUGCACUUUGGGAUAAGCCUGGGAAACUGGGUCUAAUACCGAAUAUGACCAUGCGCCUCCUGGUGUGUGGUGGAAAGCUUUUGCGGUGUGGGAUGGGCCCGCGGCCUAUCAGCUUGUUGGUGGGGUAAUGGCCUACCAAGGCGACGACGGGUAGCCGGCCUGAGAGGGUGACCGGCCACACUGGGACUGAGAUACGGCCCAGACUCCUACGGGAGGCAGCAGUGGGGAAUAUUGCACAAUGGGCGCAGGCCUGAUGCAGCGACGCCGCGUGAGGGAUGACGGCCUUCGGGUUGUAAACCUCUUUCAGCACAGACGAAGCGCAAGUGACGGUAUGUGCAGAAGAAGGACCGGCCAACUACGUGCCAGCAGCCGCGGUAAUACGUAGGGUCCGAGCGUUGUCCGGAAUUACUGGGCGUAAAGAGCUCGUAGGUGGUUUGUCGCGUUGUUCGUGAAAACUCACAGCUUAACUGUGGGCGUGCGGGCGAUACGGGCAGACUUGAGUACUGCAGGGGAGACUGGAAUUCCUGGUGUAGCGGUGGAAUGCGCAGAUAUCAGGAGGAACACCGGUGGCGAAGGCGGGUCUCUGGGCAGUAACUGACGCUGAGGCGCGAAAGCGUGGGGAGCAAACAGGAUUAGAUACCCUGGUAGUCC
rnacentral:rRNA from 1 species